rnacentral:lncRNA from 1 species
UCUGGUUGCACGGUCUGAGAACUCGAGACAGUGAGAAGCCCGGUGGUUUAGUGAAGUAACAUAGCAAUGUCUCCAAAGUCACAAAGUUCAUGAAGUUUUUAUCUGCAACAUGUUGGAUCAAAGCUUACAUCACAGGCCAGUAUGAAGAUGAAAUGGCAUUAAGUUUCCUGCACAGUGACUGAUGGAGUAAAUGCUAGUUUUUUCCCCUCAAGGUAAGGAGAUCUGGUAAACGAUUAUCAAAAAGUUAUAUCAGUAAGCUUAGUGGAGGAGAGUUAGCAGUACAUGAUCUUUUUCCCCCCCAGUGGGUAGGGGGUAGAUGGCCCCAUGAUGUCAGAGACUGGGCUCACUGUAAAUGAUCCAUUCUGGAGGCAGAGAUCCCAGAUCAUCCACAGAAAGAAGCUGCUGCCUUUAUUUCAGUCUUGAGAUGAUAGAAUUAUUUAAGUGUUUGAUUAUGUAACCCAGUAAAAAAAAAAGUUCAAACAGUAUGGACAGACUGAAAAUGCAAAGUAAAACUUUUCCUCAUUGCCUAGACAACGGCCAUACUGUUUUAUACUCUAGAGGUUGCCUUAUGAGUUUAAAUGCCUUAUGAAAGACAGAGAAAUUGGCAUUUACCUAUUUCAUCUCCUAAUUGUUCUUAAUGACUUUUUUUUUAUAUCAGUAACAUUUAUAACAAAUUUUGCUAAUUACAGUGAGUUGUUCUGAAUGAUGUGUUUGGAGCCUUAUGGAAACAGUAUAUCCGUGACUCUGCCUGAUGCAUAGUUUAGAGUUCAAAUGUAUACUCCCUGCAUGGCCUGGGGACACCCAAGCACAGAAAUGCCAUCUUUAUCUUUAGAGGUGAAGAAGAGGACCCCACGCUGUUCGGGGCUUAUCUUUGCCACAACAGGGAAUGUCUUUCUGAGAAGGAAGAAGAUGAAGUGAAAGGCUAAGCCAGGCAUGCCUCAAGGGGAGCUCUAACUGAAGUUUUCGGUUUCCUGAAUGAAGAACUUUCAUUGACCUGGUUACACCUGGGGAUCCGUUGAGUGCAACCAAGAGCCCUAAUGCAGGAAUAGUCCUACAUUGUACACUAGGCUAAAAAAGCCAGAGAUUCAAGUGCUCCCCAAACAGCUCGCUUUCUGUUACCCACAGGCAGGCUGCGGCUGGGUGCACCAACAAAACCAUCCAGCAUGGCUUAGAGCAGAAUGAUCUGACAGUAAAAGUAAUGCCUGGCAUCUGCCAAGAAUCACAAGUAGUUAGAAUCCUGACAAUUUGUUUUAAAGUUUGUUUUUGCAAGGUCUAAGCUGUAUUGCUG